rnacentral:tRNA from 1 species
UAGCACAGCGGUAGUGCAGCGGUUUUGUAAACCGAAGGUCGGGGGUUCGAUUCCCUC